rnacentral:rRNA from 1 species
UGGGGAAUAUUGGACAAUGGGCGAAAGCCUGAUCCAGCCAUGCCGCGUGUGUGAAGAAGGUCUUCGGAUUGUAAAGCACUUUACGUUGGGAGGAAGGGCAUUAACCUAAUACGUUAGUGUUUUGCCGUUACCGACAGAAUAAGCACCGGCUAACUCUGUGCCAGCAGCCGCGGUAAUACAGAGGGUGCAAGCGUUAAUCGGAAUUACUGGGCGUAAAGCGCGCGUAGGUGGUUUGUUAAGUUGGAUGUGAAAUCCCCGGGCUCAACCUGGGAACUGCAUUCAAAACUGACUGACUAGAGUAUGGUAGAGGGUGGUGGAAUUUCCUGUGUAGCGGUGAAAUGCGUAGAUAUAGGAAGGAACACCAGUGGCGAAGGCGACCACCUGGACUAAUACUGACACUGAGGUGCGAAAGCGUGGGGAGCAAACA